rnacentral:lncRNA from 1 species
GUAGUCCUCUUUAUUAUAUUGUACAACCUAUUCAAAAUCCUGACCUGCAUGAAAAUUCAGUGUAUGUAACUCUGAUUACGACUGGCUCCGGCAACUAAUUGUUUCAAAUUGGUUUCAGUGAAGUAAUUCAAUUAGAAUUUGAAUGAAUGCUUAUUUGAAGCCAAAAUUCAGGCUUAUUUCUGAGAAUUGUACCACCCUUAAUGAUGGAGGGGGAAAUACAUAAUAAAUGACUGCUGUAGUGUUUCUAAAUGCAUUUGGUAUUUUAAGAUACUCAGAAGGUAGGGAGUGGGGAGAGAUGAAGGAAGUGAGAUAGAAAGAGAUUUUGUAGCAAUCUGAAGUUGGCCAAGGUUUCAGGAUACAUUUGGGGAGUUCAGUGCUACUCUAGUAUAUUGGGAAAUUCUUUUCUUCAUCACCCACACUCACAAAAAUGUAUAGCAGAGAAAUUUAAUCAUUCUUUGGUAGCAUUCUGCACUCCGACUCAAAAGGCCUUCUUUAAAUGCUAAUGUGUCUUUCUUACAACUGUUUCCUAGAACAAAUUCCCUGAGUGGAAUUCAGGUAGCUUCCUUAGUAGAAGAUGAUUUCCUGCUCUUCAUUCAGAGAAGCCUUAUUUCUAGCAGGAGUCUCAGAAAUGUUUUAAAUGAGCUGAAUAUGGUCUCUCAGUGAAGCAGAGUGUCUCCCUUUGGAAAGCAGCUGGAUUAGGGGCACUUGACCUUUCUGAAUUGCGUAUGCACGAAUCGACAAUAAAGAUCUGAAAGGAAAGGGAAGUGAACUGACUGGAAAUUCUCUCUUAAAGUCUUAGAUACCUUUGUUCACUGAAUUUGUUCUAAUGAACAUGGCUAAAUUUCUAGGAUCUAAAAUGAAGAUAGUUUCUUGUUGAAAUAGAUAUAUUUAAAAAUAAGAUCCAGAUAAUUGUGUUUUUUGGGGGGGGAGUAAAGGGUGCUUGUUUCUUAAAUAAUUUAUUCAACAUUUCAAUAAAUAUUAACUGAAUGUACUCUAUACUAAUUACUAGUGACACGAUGGCAAGCAAAGCCUGGAAGUUACAGUCUAAUAGCAAGACAGACUGAUCAGAUGUAAUAUUACAAUCAUUUCAAGUGCCAUGAAGUACAAUGUUGUGAGAGUCUACAGCAGGCGUCCUGACCUCAUUAGAGGGAAGGUGGUGUCUAGAGAAGG